UACGAAGGGGACUAGCGUUGUUCGGAUUUACUGGGCGUAAAGCGCGCGUAGGCGGAUCGCUAAGUCAGGGGUGAAAUCCCAGGGCUCAACCCUGGAACUGCCUUUGAUACUGACGAUCUGGAGAUCGGGAGAGGUUGGUGGAAUUCCGAGUGUAGAGGUGAAAUUCGUAGAUAUUCGCAAGAACACCAGUGGCGAAGGCGGCUCACUGGCCCGAUACUGACGCUGAGGAGCGAAAGCGUGGGGAGCGAACAGG
rnacentral:rRNA from 1 species